rnacentral:rRNA from 1 species
GUCUACAGCCAUGCCACCCAGAACGCGCCCGAUCCCCUCUGAUCUCAGAAGCUAAGCAGGAUCGGGCCUGGUUAGUACUUGGAUGAGAGACCACUUUGGAAUACCAGGUGCUGUAGGCG